UCUCUCUCUUGUAAAAAUUCUCUUGUACGUGUGAAGUUUGAAGCAGUGAAGAAAUUCUUCAUAUGUAAGUAUUUUAUUAUGAGUUUAAAUCCUGUUGCAUUCAAUAAUAUUUUUUAUGCUCCAUAUGAUUAUAUUAUCUUAAAUAGCAAUCGUCCUAAUUACUUUCAAAAAUUAAAAGAAAAAAUAAAAUAUAUUAAUAAUUUUAUAAAAUAUCUUGAAAGACUUCUGGAAAAAUCCAGAACUUACGAUUUCGCUAGAUACGAAAUUUUACUUAUAAAUUAAAUAAAGCUAAACAAAGCCUUAAAGCCUUUGAAUCUCAAGGCUCAUAUUUAACUGCUGCAUAAAUAUUAUUUGCUUAAAGUAAGCAAAAUUCAUUUUUAUACUCUGAUAAUAUCAAUUCCUAAUUAGGAAUUUUAGAUACCACGCCUAGUGGCUCAUAUAUAUAUAUAUAUAUAUAUGAAUGGUGGAACAGAUGUGCGUGUGGGAUUUCUAGUUUGAGUUUGAUUUCAAACAAAUGCUUGGAGAAAUUGAGUUAGAGCUACGAACCUUUAGAAACAAUUUUGUUGUGUUGUUGAUUUGUGAUGGCUAGAAUCAGUUUGUUGCUGUAGUUCGAAAGGUAUGGUGUUGAAUCUGCUGCUGUUUACUAAAUGGAGCUUUGCACUUGAUUUUCUUUGGUUUUGUUGGAACGAGAGUAGGGAGAGAGAGCAGGUGAGAGGAUUGAGUGAAGAAAAGCUUAAGCUUGGCUUACAGAGGAAGAUAGUAAAAAUGACUUAAUGAGGAAGUUAAAGAUUUGGAUAGGAAUAAUUGGAUGUUUAGAAUGAUAGGAUAAGGUUAAGAACAAGUGUAUGGUAUAAAUAAAUAAAAUAAAAUAAAAAUUUAAUAUCCAUGACUUUAACCAAAAUAGUUCUGAAUAAAAUCUUUGAUCACUCAUUCAGGAAUGACUAGCACCGGGCUCUUGAAUUAAUACACAAAAUUUAAUAAAAUCAAAGUCCAAAACUAAAUUACUAAACUUCGACACACAUUAACAAUCAAAGUCGCAAAUAGACUUUAAUUUAAAACUUGUUCAAAUAAAUAAUGAUCAUAUUAUACAAUCGCAUAUUCAUAUAAUUCAAUCUAUAUGCAAUGCACAAAAAUUUUAAAUAACUUAAAUAUUUACAAAAGGUUUUGUAAAUCAUUUUCGUUGGAAUUACAUAAAUUUAUUUUCUUUAUUCAGCGUGAAUCAUCCUACUUCAAAGUUCCAAAUUACUCUAAAUUUAGCUAUAGGGGACGGGGUAUUACAAGACAUAUACAGAAUUUAUUUCUUAGGAAGAUGAACUUUACCUCAAGUACUUUCUGUCCAAUUCUUUGAGAGAGCACGUUCCAGAUAUUCUCUGCCAUGGGCAGUUCAGGCAGCCCUUCUUCUUUUAGGAACUCCCAUUCUUCUACAAGAAAGCUCCCAUUGUUUGGCUGAUUUGGAAAUGCAGAAAUGAGAGUAAGUUCGAGGGUAGGGUGUGGGAUGCCAAUCAACUUGUUUUGGAAUGAAGGGUAGACUGUGGAGUUGGAACAAGAUUUACCAUCUUGUUGAUGAGAAUGUUUCCUUCUCUUCUUGGUGUUCAAGUGUACACAAACUCUCUUUUUUGUAAUGUUCUUGGUAUCUCUGGUACCUUGAUUUCUUUUCUCUUUCAAUAAAGUUCUUUUACUGAUACAAAAAAAAAAAAAAAAAAAGAAAACCUGCCGGAUAACAAAUCAUGGUGACAUAUCAAUUGAAUAAAUCUAUUUUAAUAACUUUGGGUAAAAGGUCAAUUAGCAUACAGCAUUCCAAUUUCCAACUAAAGUGACAUUUUAUGAUACGAGCAGAAAGAGCGUACGUUGUAAGCAUAAUUAAUGUUAUUUUAUUUGAUAAAAUAAAAAAUAUAAAUAUAAUAUUUAUUAUAUUUAAUUUUUCAAUUAAUAAUUUGGUCUAUUUAAAUAUGCUCCUACGAUUAAGGAAAUAAAUACCAAUAGUAAAGAGAGAGAACCGAAUGAGGUUAGAAAAUUCAGAUGAAAGAACCAUGUUGAGCAAGUUUUGUCAUUUAAUAGAACAAUUUACUAUGCACCCACAGCGAAAUUGCAUAGUUAUUGACAGCUAGAUACUCAUACUUGCCAUACAGCAACAAUUUUAUCUCUCCUACCACUUCAUCGACCAUGUACACUAAUAAAGUUUUCAUAGAGUACCAAUGGAAUGAAAAAUGUCUAGAAAGUCUCAAAGACCACACAAAUAUACUCCCUUAUUGUUAAGACUUAGAAGAGAGACAAGGUUCCCAGUGUUCCAUCAAAAUAUUACAACUUCUCAUUGACUAAACUCCACCAGGGACGAGUUCACUAUUAUUGUAUAUACUUUUCUUUUUUGAGAAAAAAAAAAAAAGAACCUACGCACCAACUUAAAGAGAAUCAAAUGUAUAGUAACCAAUUAACUAAUAAAAACUCUCCCACUAUGAUAUCAGAAUUAAUACCCAAUAUAAAUGUUCUAAAACACAUCGUAAGCUAUCUGCUGCACACACUUUGACUGUCUUUUGGCAAACUAUCAAUUUCUAUGAUGUAAAACUAGUUUCAGUUACCAGUAUGAUAGUGCUUGUCUCACGACAUAACUAAGAACAAAAUUUACUGACCUCCUCACAUUAUCGAAAAUUGACUCGCUGACAUGACAUCCAAAGGAAUCCAAAUGCAGCAUAAUUGGCCCCAACUCAUCUUCUUUAUUUGGCAUGCAUAUAAUAACCAAGCUCCAAUAAGAACGCCAGAAAUGAGAUAAUGCAAAAUAUGGUCACUGAGGAAGCCUAGGCAAUACAAAAUGCGGUUAGAAAAGAAGAUCUGAUAAGCUUACGAUCCACUAAUUGGGAGGAAAAUGUAUGGUUUCUGGAAUAUAUUCUCAUUUUUCCAAUGAGAUCUGAGUUUCUGAAAUGAAUCUUUUCUAUCAGUCUGCAUCAGGGAAAAAUAAAUACUAGUAAAACAUUUUAGGAAAUUUAGCUUUCAUAAAAGAAAAUGACUCCAAUCUUGCAAAAUUGUUUUGACUUUAAGAAAUAGUAAUUGUUCAAGUUUCUUCAAAACUUCUUAAAAAAGCAGCCCAAAAACACGCAAACAACUAACUAAAAAAUAAACAUCAAAAGUUGGGAGAGCAAGUACGAGAUACAACAGGACCAGUUUCUGAUUUUGACUGUGAAGAAUUUUGACUUACGCAUGUUAAACAUUCUACAAAAGACUCAAUGAUUUUGAGGUUGACAAGAUCAUCAAAUUCUCAUAAGAAAGUCUUUCCAUGCCUUUCAUAGUAAAAGCCUCUCAAAGAUACACUAGAUGAUCAAUCCAUUGUAUAUGACAUUGAUGUCUUUCUUGUUUCAUGAAUAUGAGAAGAUUCUAUGGCAAAGAGAUGAGUGCUUCCAGAAUUUCAGAAGCUACCUUCGUCUGAACAUGCCUUUUGAUCAGAUCAUAGAUCUCUGUAUCAAACAUAUGAUAAUCAUGUUUUCUUUUGGCACUUUGGGAUGUUAGCUUCUGCUUCAAGUAUCUAAACAAAGUAUAUCAGUUAGUGAACUAUCACAUUACAAAUUUAUAGCACAUCUAACAUGCAGUCCCAAGUGAUAAACAGUUAGCAUGCAAUAGCAGUACCAUCAGUAAACAAUUGAGAACGAUAGGACAACUGCAGAUUUUUUCUUAAUUUUUGCACAAGAAUUCAUAAUAAAUUAGUCUCCCACAAGAUGAGCACUUAUUAGUGCUAUGAUUUUUUACCGAGGUUAAAAAUAGGGCUAAGUCAUUAGUCUAAUUAUUAAGUGAGACCAACGAAGAAGUAGAAUAACUAACAUAUUGAGCUUACCGAAUGUAAAAGUUAAUAAUUGGUGUUGACAGAUAAGUCUCAGGAGCCAGAUCUUACAUAUACGAGUAAUGAAUUGCGAUGGCAUCAAGAUCAUCCCUAUUUUAAGAAGGAACAUUAUUAAAAGAAGGAUGCAUGAGAAGGAACAUUAUUAAAAGAAGAAUCCAGCACGCCAUGAUACAUAUUGCAGUGAGAUGGUACCCUGAUACAUAUUGCAGUGAGAUGGUACCCUGAUGGGUAGCAUAUAAGGGCAUCUUUACUCCUGAAACAAAGAGGAAGGAAUAAGUAAAUGUUGAUCCCAACUACACAAAGCAUGUACAACUGUGUUACCUCGACUGAUUGACCUCCUGUUUUAAUUCGAUCAGCAGCUUAUUACAUUCUACAUCUUUUGCGGUCAGUUCUUUGCUAAAAUAGCACUCAUCAUCGUUUAAUAUAAUCUUGAAAUCAACAUCAUCACCAUCUAAAGUCCUUAGCAACUGUUCUAGAUGAUCGAAACUGUUACCUUUAUUGAAUAAGGAAACUGAGUCUAGGAACAAUGAGGAGACUGCUUCUCUUCUCAAUCAGGAAACUGACAAUGUUGCUCGUGUUGAGAUUGAGAUCAAUGAGGAGACUGCUCUUAGUGAGCCUGGGAAGAAUGUUGAUGUUGAUCCUGAUGUGAUUGAGAUCAAUGAGGAGACUCUCCCUGAACUGAAACUUCAACACCAUAAAAGGUUCAUCUUGAGUAAAUAUGGACGAAACUUUAUUAUAUUAGAAGGCAGACUAUUUUAGAGGAUCUUCCUACCAUUGAUCAUCCGAAUUGAUCAUCCGAUAGGAAGAUCCUCUAAAAUAGUCUUAAGAAUGCCUUCUAGUAUAAUGAAGUUUCGUCCAUAUUUACUCAAGUUGAACCUUUUAUGGUGUUGAAGUUUCAGUUCAGGGAGAGUCUCCUCAUUGAUCUCAAUCACAUCAGGAUCAACAUUGAUCUCAAUCACAUCAGGAUCAACAUCAACAUUCUUCCCAGGCUCAGUAGUCUCCUCAUUGAUCUCAAUCUCAACACGAGCAGCAUUGUCAUUGAGGAGAGAAGCAGUCUCCUCAUUGUUCCUAACUCAGUUUCCUGAUUCAGAAGAAGAGCAGUCUCCUCGUUAAUCUCAAUCACAGUCUAAGAGCAGUCUCAAUCACAGAGUCUAAGAGGAACAGUCUCUCAUUGAUCUCAGCAUUUUUUCCUAGACUCAGUCUCCUAAGGAUUCUCAAGACCCCAUCCUCACGCGGCUUCCCAAGACCCCAUCCUCAGCCGAAUUCCCAAUACCCCAUUCUCAGGUAUAACCUGUUAUACCGUUCCAACCGUGUUACCUUACCAAUUUCAUUUUUCCACCUCUGUUCCUCAUUCUAAAUUUUAAGUCUACUUACCCUCGCCGCCUCACUCUCCCAUCACCGAGGCCUCCUUUUUCCUUUUCCUUUGCCUCUCCCUCUCCCUCUGCCCUCCACCUCCUCCUCCUCCUCCUCCCUCCCCGUCGGUGGUGGAGGAUCAUAAUUGUUGGCAUUAGACAUAAUUUUUUCUUCCGUAGGACCGUAUAGCAUAAACUUUCUCCUACCAUCAACAUCAACCUUAUGUGCCAAACUCUACGAUCCGGAUCGGUACAAUCGAAAAUUAAGUUCACGAAUUUACAGAAUUGAGUUUUCUGAUCAGGGGUCGGAUCUUAAAAGGUUGAAUUAACGGCAUCUAACCUAUUUUCCACACUCAUACCUGAUAUAUCGAACGAUGGUUGAGGGGAUGUCAUCUCUCAUUCUUCUCCCAAUCGGAGUGUCUGUGCUGUGUGUGCAGCGUGAGAAUGAGAGAGAGGGUGAACCUAGGCGUUUGUGUUAAUAUGAAUAUGGAUUGGGCUGCAUAUUUAUUUCGUGUGUUGUGUUAAUGUGGAUAUGGAUUGGGCUGCAUAUUUAUUUCUUGUGUUGUGUUAAUAUGGAUAUGGAUUGGGCUGCGUAUUUAUUUCUUGUGUUUGUCAAACUAAUUUGUUACUAGUGUUAAUAUCGAAAUUAAAAAAUAAGUUUAAAUAAAUAAAUAUAAAUAUUAAAUAGAAAUAAAAUAUAAUAAAUGUAAAAUAUGAUUUAAAAGUAAAUUACUAAUUUCUCAAUAAAAUUCUGAAUUUAAAAAUGUAAUAUUCAAUUAUGUAUAAAGUGUAAUCAUAAUUAUAGUUAUUAAAUUAUUUUAAAUUAUUUGAUAAUGAAAAUUAAUAUUACACAUUAUUAUUAAAGAGUAUUUCAUAUAAUAAUAAUAAAUAAAUAUUUUCGUACACGAACAUAAAUAAAAAGUUGUAAAAGUUUAACAAAGAAAAAGAAAAUAAAAAAUUUUAAUAACCUAUUCGUUUUAAAUUUAUUUUUGAUAAUUUUUUUAUACAAUAUUAAAUAUCUUCUAACAAACUUAAACUUAAGAUUCACAUUGAACAUUUAUUUAUAAAUUAAAUUUGACAAUGCUUAGAAAAGAAUUAAAAUUAAAAAGAGAGAAAAAAAAAUAGUGAAAAAAUUGAUGGGAGAAAAAAGAGAAAAAAUGGAGGGAAAAAAUAGAGGGAGAAAACUCCACUUUUAUAUAUUAUAUAGAUUUAGAUUAGUGACGAGGUGAUUCUAUUCAUAGCCCUCAUUUUACUCUUUAUAGCUCCCUAUUUAACAUAAUAAUUAAAUUAAUUAAAAACUGAAUGUUUUAUUCUAUAUUUCAUAAACUCCAAAUUACAUUAAAUUUAUAAUAAAUUAACAAUUUCAUUUGAGAAACACGUUUACGCAAAUAAAUCCUACAAAGAACUGUAUAACCCACCAACUCAAAUGCUAUAUAUUUCUGUAAUCGUGUGCAUCGUUUCUAUAAAAAUUCCAUCAAACCCUAUCUAUUUUCUGUAAUAAUUAUUCGAUUAAUUUGUUUCAUUUUGCCAAUACCAGAAAUCAUCCUCAAUUUCGUGAAAUAGGUGAGUUUUCUUCACUUCCUCUGUUGUCAUUUGUUUUUUUGCUAAUAUUAUACUUCUGCUUCUCUGUGUUUUGCUAAAUUGCUUAUUGUUCUAGGUUUGGAGCAAGUUAAUAGUUGAUUUAGCUCCUUUUUGGAUUGUUUGAUUUACUCGAAAAAUUAUGUUUGUUGGUAACUUGGUUGGUCGAUUUAUGCUUACAACACUUAGUUCAUGCAUUGAAAUUUUUGAGUAAAUAGUCUUUGAAAAUUAAAUUGCUUUGUGCCUUAAACGUGCACGAGCUAGUUGUUUCCCUGAAGCAUCUCUCACAUUUUCUUCAUUUUUAGUUUAUUUUCCUAUAGUUUCUGUUGUAUUGUGUUACCACAAUUGUCUGAGUAUGAAAGUUGUAUAUCACGAUAAUUUUGUCUUCUGUGUAGCAAAAUAGGCCUUUGAAUUCAAAUAAUGUGGUCGAUUCUUUGCAAAAGUUUAAUAUCAGAAAGGAUGUUAUACAAAAAGCAUUGGAUUGUCUUACAGACGGUGGAAAAAUAUCAAUCAGGGAAAUCCGUCGUCCAACACAUCAGUUGCACGAUAUUCUUAAAAAUGUUAUAGACAUCUGAAAAGUACUCCCAAACAUACAAUCUCUAACAUUUCGAAAGGUAUCUCUCACAUCUUUAGGAAGAAAAAUCAUAGCCCACGCAACAAGAAGCAAGUUAGUAUAUAAAUCUCAACUGGGAAAAAUUGAUGCUCGUUACAAGCAAUAACUUCUAUCAUCAUUGCAUCCGUAGAAAGUGUCUUCUUUGAAACAACCACCUCCACUUUCCGUCAUGGUUGUUGAUAACAAUGGCCACACCAAACUCACGGUUAUUUUGGCAUAAUAAUGCAUCCACAUCCACCCUAUAACACCCUUUCCUUUGACCCCCAACAAGAACAUAGGCCUCCCAAUAAGCUACAAUCUUAACCUCCUUUCCUUCAUGUAACACAUGGAGAAUCGGCUAUUAACUACUUAGACUCCGUUCUUUUUGUGGAAAAAGAGUGGAAAACAAAUAAUUUCCCUCAUUUUCUCAUCACCCCCACCCACUCUCCUCCCCCACCCCAAUUUUUUUUAAAAUUUUUCUCGUCACCCCCUACCCCACGGCUNNNNNNNNNNNNNNNNNNNNNNNNNNNNNNNNNNNNNNNNNNNNNNNNNNNNNNNNNNNNNNNNNNNNNNNNNNNNNNNNNNNNNNNNNNNNNNNNNNNNNNNNNNNNNNNNNNNNNNNNNNNNNNNNNNNNNNNNNNNNNNNNNNNNNNNNNNNNNNNNNNNNNNNNNNNNNNNNNNNNNNNNNNNNNNNNNNNNNNAUAUGGGGGGGGGGGAGAGGUUGGGUGGGGGUGAUGAGAAAAAUUAAAAAAAAUAUAUUUGGGGGGCGUUGGGUGGCGGGAAAAAUUAAAAAAAAUGGAGGGGGGUGUGGGUGGCGAGAAAAAAAUUAAUUUUUUUUGGGUGGGGGGUGGUGUGGGUCAGCGACAAAAUUGAAAGUAUGGCAUAAAAUAAUUAAGUAAAUAACAAGGAUAAUAUUGUCAUUUAACAAUUUAUCCAUCAUUUUCCAAUAAAGAGAACAUGUGUAUAUGAUAAAUGAAGUAUAGGAUAAAAAAGAAUUCCAUCAAAGAGAACAUGAGAUAACAAGAGUGGAAACGAUAAAAUUUUUCCAUCUUUUCAUUUUUAAUCAUUUUCUCAUGAUAAUUUUACAACCAAAGAUAACGCAACCUUAGGUAACAAUUUGGGGUCCUAGCUAGCUACAAGGUUGAUUAAUGUUUUUGGACAAUAUUUUGGAUCCCAAAAUCCAAGUAAAUAAUUAAUAUAUUUGGGCACCAAUUAAUACAUUGGUGUAAUGGCGUUACAUGUUUAGGCCUAUUAGUUUAAUAGUAACAAUUUGAAAAUUAGGCCAACUAUGUAGGUUAGGCCCAAUUCAUAUCUUGAGCUCAUUAACUUUCUACUCAUCAAACAUCGAACUCUUUCCUAAUAAUUGGUUGCAUGUUUUUUGUUUUCACGUUGUAACAGAAGGAUACUUUUUUUCUCUUACGGCGUUCUUCUCACUGGAUUUUCGCUGUAAAUGUUUUGAUGAGAUCCAGUCCUCAGUUAGUUUUCUUGUGCUAUCGAUGGGUUUUUAGUUUUCUAUUUCUUUUUUUUUUCUUAAUUAAAAGUUUAAUUCAGUUAAAACAAGUUAUAACAGUGAUUUCAACAUGAAAUUAAUUAUAUAUAUAUAUAUACAUAUAUAUAUAUAUAUAUAUAUCAAUAAGGACUCAUAAACGGAAAUAUUAUUCUCACUUAUACAUUUUUUUAGAGCACAAUUUAAAAUUUAAGAAGACAUAAAACCUACCCCGUGCUAGUACAACUAACCUACAGAAAUGUGGUUGAAAGAGCAAGGAAAAUUGCAUCAUUUGCAGAAUGCUGCAUAACACUCACUACAAAAAAAAAGGAUUACCGGCGGCAAUUCCUGCCGGUAAAAAAGGGGCGGCCGCCGGCGAUUUCAUUACCGGCGGCCCUCUGCCACCAGCAAUUAUCUCGUCGGAGAUGUGAUUGCCGGCGGCGAAACUCAGCCGCCGGAGAUUGGCGGCGGCCCUACCGCCGGUAGAUUUUCUCGGGAAACUCAGGUGGUUCCCCGAACAUUUACCGGCGGUUCUCACCGCCACUGAUUACCGGCGGCGUUAGGUGCCGUCGGUAAUCAGCGGCGGUAGAGAUGCCGCCGGUGAUCACCACCACCACACCGAUGGUCGUCGAUGUUGGGAGAUUACCGGCGGGCCCUUGCCGCCGCUAAUUACCGGCGGCACAUUGCCGCCGGUAAUUAAAUAAUUAUUUUAAUUAUAUAAUUAUUUAUUUUAUUUAUUUAUCUUAUUUACUUAUUUAUUUAUCUCCACUAAUAUUUUCGUAUUUAUACAAUAUUUCAAACCUUAGGCGAACUUCCCAGUGGGUCACUCAUUUUAGUUGUGCUCUAAGUCAAGCACGCUUAACCUUGAAGUUCCUUUUGAAUUAUCCCCGGUAGAGAACACUCGUAUAAUUGAUAUAUCUAUUACCUAUUAAAUCAUUUAAAGGCUAUUUCAAUAUACAAUAUACUCCCUCCGUUUGCCAAGAUUAUGUCACAAUUACUAUAUCGGGCGUCCGCCAAGAUUAUGUCACUUUCCUUUUAUGGCAAUGGUCCCACCAUCCUCUUUAAUAUUUGAUCCCUACUAACACUCUUUAUUUACAAAAAAACCACUCAAAAUUCAAUCUCAACCACUCAUCUCAUAAAGUGGUGGGACCCUUUCUCCACUACAUCAAAAUCAUCACCAAUUUUAUUAAAUCCCGUGCCCAAGCAAAUUGCCAUAAUCUUGGCGGACGGAGGGAGUAUAUCAUAUAUUCAUAACAUUUGAAUAUGACGAGAUAAUAUCCAAGCGAUGUUGUUAAUUACGGACCAGUCUCGUGCCGCCCUUAUUUUUAUGGCAAAUAAAUAUUUAUUUUUUAAUUUUUUUUUAUCAAUAUAGUUUAUUAAUCAUAAGUAUUUUAAUUUGAUAGUUUUAAUGUAUUUUUGAAUUCAUUUGCAUAUAUGGCCUUAUUUUUAUGUCGAAACAAUAUAUCUAUUUAUUAAUUAAUAUGUUAUUAAUUUUUUUUUAUCAAUCUACGUUAUAGAGUAUAAGUAUUUUCAUUUUGUAAUUAUAAUGUAUUUUGAAUUCAUUUGCAUACCUUGAAUUCACUCACAAUAAAUAGGACGAUUUGAAAACAUAAAACAAUUAAAUUGUUCAACAAAACACAAAUGUUAAACAAAGUUCAAGUGUAAUUGUGUUUGUUCAGAAACAUAACAUAAAUAAAAUAUAUAGUUCAACAUGAUAUAGAUACAUAGAAGUGAUGCUCAAUGUAGCUGACCCGACCGCCUCAGUAUCUCCUCGAACUGACUCAUCCGCUGCUCAAGGGCCUCACAUGCUGCUCGUUCGGCCUCACGUGCUGCUUCUUGGGCCGCCCUAUCCUCCUCAGCCCUUUGGAGGCGCUCCUCCAGUGUGGAGAUCCGAGUCUCAUACAUCCGCUGAGACAUCUGGGAAGAGCCUGUACUGCUAGUAGAGCCCCUACUAAACUGGCUCACACCGGCACUUCCAGUGCCGUACAGUCGUGACCUACCGGGACGUACGAGCUCCAAGUAGACCUCAUCGAGUCGGUCCUCUCGUCCUGUCUCAGCAGCAACGCGAUGAAUCUCCGCCUAAUUCAUACAUAACAAUGCACAAUUAUUAUAAAAUAAAUACAUUUUACUAUGUAUUACUAAUAUUUAUUCAAACUUAAACAUUUACAUCAAGGUUGGCAUCCUUUUCUGACACAAAAGCUCCAUCUGCGUGCAUGUGUAGGCGGAGGAAAGUGAUGUAGUUAGAUGCAGUUGGGGGGGACUUCACCAUCCAAGAGCUAUUCAUGCAUUUAUAUAAGAUAAAUAAGGUAAUAUAAUAUAUAUAUAUAUAUAUAUAUAUAUAUAUAUAUUUAUUAGAUAAAUACUUAAUAUAUAUUUAUAUAUAUAUAUAUAUAUAUAUUUAUAUAUAUAUAUAUAUAUAUAUAUAUAUAUAUAUAUAUUAAUAUUUAUUACUUAAUAUAUAUAUAUAUAUAUUAUAUUAAUAUUUAUAUUUAUUAGAUAAAUACUUAAUCGAUAAUUACUAACCAGACUCUGCUGCAGAAUACGACUCGAUUGAGACCCUCCAACGUGCCGGCUGAUCCUUGUACCAACUCCAUCGGGCUCAGAGUAUCGGUUCUCACGUG
rnacentral:lncRNA from 1 species